UUUUCCUUCACUGAGGACCAACUCAUCCCAAAUCAUUUUAAUUGGACUCCGUCCGUCCGUCCAUCCGUCUGUCUGUGUGUGUGUGUGUGUGUUACUCACUGUGCUAUGGCCCGUAGGUUACUCAGUAUGUAGUCUGUGUGUGUGUGUGUGUGUGUGUGUGUGUGUGUGUGUGUGUGUGUGUGUGUGUGUGUGUGUGUGUUACUCACUGUGCUAUGGCCUGUAGGUUACUCAGUAUGUAGUGUGUGUGUGUGUGUGUGUGUGUGUGUUACUCACUGUGCUAUGGCCUGUAGGUUACUCAGUAUGUAGUCGGUGUGUGUGUGUGUGUGUGUGUGUGUGUGUGUGUGUGUGUGUGUGUGUUACUCACUGUGCUAUGGCCUGUAGGUUACUCAGUAUGUAGUGUGUGUGUGUUACUCACUGUGCUAUGGCCGUAGGUUACUCAGUAUGUAGUCGGUGUGUGUGUGUUACUCAC
ensembl:lncRNA